ensembl:lncRNA HCP5B HLA complex P5B
GCCCAUUGGAAGCAGGGCCUCAGCACCAAUGCUACUGAGGAUGUCAGAGCACAGGAGCAGGGCCUUGGGAGAUUACCCAGCAUUACUCAAACCUUCUGCCCUGAUGGGUCUGGGUCCUUGGAAAUCAAGCUGUCUCAGGCUGAAUUGCUGGAUGAUUCUGUUCACACUUACAAUGAGGUAAGGGAAACCAGAAGGCCCCCAGGUCGAUCUCUGGUUUCCACACACACUUCCGCCCUCAUUGUGUGAAAGUAGCCAUGCCUUCUCCUGAAGAUGAGGAUCUAUUACCUGGGCCUGGAGAGGAGGAGAAUCCUCUUUUCACCAGGUGGUCUCUGGGCACAUACUAAUCAAAACUUCUCUCGUGACAAUCGGAAUGUGUAGUUCAGUGGGCUGUCUUUUGUAUCCUUUUAAGGGUACCCUCCUUGGAAACCAGGACCUCGUACCCUGCACAGCCCAGUGUUGGAAGAUAAAACGUGCAAAAUACCCCAUUGGGUGAAUCUAAGGGAUUGGACGUGGAGCCAAACCUGCUUCCAUCUUUUGAUUCCUGGACACACAUGUUCUUCCUAUUGAGAACACAGCACUCUAGAGACAUCUCUGAUUCAAACAAUGCACGGUGUCCUGAAAGACGGCACCCACCUCUCAGAGUGCUUCCUCCAGGCUGGCACUGAGUUUUGCCUGUAGAAGACCUGUCCAGCAUUCCUUGUGGCUGGCAGCCUCUGGAUGGUCCAGAUGGUGAUAGGAUUAGUGGAACCCACAGCCAUGGAAACACUGAAACUUUCCCAGCCAAGUGGGUCCUUCAGGCAGAUAAUGGGCUAGGAGCACCUCCUAGCCUGCAGAUCAGGAAUGUCAACAGCACCCGGAGAGUGGUGCUGGCUGAGUUUCUGAGAGCAGGACAUGAAAACACCCAUGGAAUAGAAGCCUAUCCCUGUGAAGAUGAACCUCUGGCCCUUCCAGGAUGGAAGUAGCUAAAUGUAGUCAACUUGUUACUUAGUGGCUAGUUAGUCACCUAAAGAAAUAGUGCCCCACUGGGGCACAUCAUGGGCCUCAAUUGCUGAUGAGUUGGACAUUCAGAGGUGUCGACAGCUGGAUCUGCCUUGGUAGGGGGGAGUCAGUGCUGUUGGCCCCAUAUGUAGCCUCAUGCCUGCCACUGUGGUUGCUCCAUUCAUGAACUCAUCCUACCAGACCAGGGCUGACCCAUGGUGAAGGCUGGCUAACUUCCAUUUGUCUGUUUGGUUGUUCAGUGCCACUUCAGACUUGGGUAUUUUCUGUGGGUGUAAACAUGGGAUUCAAGCUCAACCCAGGUGGACCAUUUUCACCUCAUGAUGGAUGCUGUUGGGCCUGUCCAAUCUAUGACUCUGUGGGUCACACAGGCACUUGGAACCACAUAGUUGCUUGGUGUCCCGUGGUCAAACAUUCUAUCUAAUCAGGACAAGGGACACUAAAAGUUGCUUCUAAUAGGUGGCAUAUGUCUCUGCUGUGAAUGACAUGACCUUACUCCAGAAUCCCAGGCCUUUCACUGUGACUUUCCCACUGGUGCUUGGUUCAGCUCCAUCCUGCAUCUUUCCCCACCAAUGGCAUCACCAGCACCAGGGGGUCUGAGAGAUGGUGGCUGCUUGCACCAUGGCCUGGAUCUGCUGCAGGGUCCUUUUCUGUGUGGGCCCCACUUGAAGCUGGCCUCCUCCUAUGUCACCUAGAGUGUGGGCCAAAGCAACAUACCUAGAUGUGGAAAGUGGUGUUGUCAGAACUGAAAGAGGCUCAUCAGGCAGUGUGCUUCCUUCUUUCUGGUGAGGAUGCAAGAUGAAACAGUUUGUCUGUUACCUUGGAGGGGACACACCUGCAUUCCCCUAAACACUUGGCCAUUGUUCACCCAUAAAACUUUACUUCAAUGCCCA